rnacentral:rRNA from 1 species
GUGUCAGCAGCCGCGGUAAUACGUAGGGUCCGAGCGUUGUCCGGAGUUACUGGGCGUAAAGCGCGCGCAGGCGGCCGUCCAAGCCCGGCGUGAAAGCCCUCGGCUCAACCGAGGAACGUCGUCGGGGACUGGGGGGCUUGAGAGCGGCAGGGGUCGGUGGAAUUCCCGGUGUAGUGGUGAAAUGCGUAGAGAUCGGGAGGAACACCCGUGGCGAAGGCGGCCGACUGGGCCGACUCUGACGCUGAGGCGCGAAGGCGUGGGGAGCGAACGGGAUUAGAUACCCCGGUAGUCC